UACGUAGGGUGCGAGCGUUGUCCGGAUUUAUUGGGCGUAAAGAGCUCGUAGGCGGUUUUGUCGCGUCGGCCGUGAAAUCUCCACGCUUAACGUGGAGCGUGCGGUCGAUACGGGGCAGACUUGAGUUCGGUAGGGGAGACUGGAAUUCCUGGUGUAGCGGUGAAAUGCGCAGAUAUCAGGAGGAACACCGGUGGCGAAAGGGCGGGGUCUCUGGGGCAGUAA
rnacentral:rRNA from 1 species